UACAGAGGUUGCAAGCGUUAAUCGGAUUUACUGGGCGUAAAGCGUGUGUAGGUGGUUGUUCAAGUCGGUUGUGAAAUCCCCGGGCUCAACCUGGGAACUGCUUCCGAGACUGAACGACUAGAGAUCGGUAGAGGGCGGUGGAAUUUCCGGUGUAGCGGUGAAAUGCGUAGAGAUCGGGAGGAACACCUGUGGCGAAGGCGGCCGACUGGGCCGACCCUGACGCUGAGGCGCGAAGGCGUGGGGAGCGAACGGG
rnacentral:rRNA from 1 species